CUUUCUCUCUCUCUCCUUUCCCCGCCCACUCUCUCUCAUCAGUGAUCUUUUUCUCACUUCACGACAAUAUCUCCUCCAAUUCUCUGUCUUUUCUCUCGCGACUCUGGCUCCGAUGAAGCUCUUCUCUCCUAUGCCGCAUACGAUUUUCUCUCUCUUUGGAUUUGUGAGCCGUAUGAGAUGCAACUAGUUCUUUUGAUUGGCACAAAGCUACAACAUAUUAUUGCGACCCUGGCACAAGAGAAUGCUGGUUUAAGAGUUCAUGGAGAAAGGAAGAGGCCAGGGAUGAUCUUUUCUGGUUUUAGAAGCCAGAACUUCCGUUAUCACUGAUCCAUUUUUGUUCUAUUCCAGUGGAGGUUCUCUGGGAAUAAUGGUGGUCUUUAUGGUGAAAAGGGCAUUGUCACUGGAAGAAAAUGUCCCAAGGGCCUCUAUGGCACUUACUGCAGGGAAUGCCCCAUUGGCACAUAUAAAGAUACUGAUGGCUUAGAUGACAAUCUUUGUGUUCCUUGUUCACUUGAUCUUCUUCCUAGUCGUGCUGAGUUCAUAUAUAUAUGCGAGUGGUAGAGGGAUUUGAUUCAAUGGCUCUCACUUCACGACCAUCACGGGUACCUGCAAAGCUAUUCUUAUGGUAUUCUCCGUUGAUGUCGCAUUAGAGUUUUAAGGUCUAUGCUACUUUAUUCACUCCAAUCGCGCUAUGGAUUUCGUGGAUGACCAAGUGUAUAUGAUCGACUCCUAA